UGGGGUGUCGCCAAGCGGCUAAGGCCCCGGAUUUUGAUUCCGGUAUACGCAGGUUCGAAUCCUGCCACCCCAGCCA
rnacentral:tRNA from 3 species